rnacentral:rRNA from 1 species
GGGCUCACACAAGCGGUGGAGGAUGUGGCUUAAUUCGAGGCUACGCGAAGAACCUUACCCAGGCUUGACGUGUCUAGGAAUUCCUGUGAAAGCAGGAAGUGCCCUUCGGGGAACCUUAACGCAGGUGCUGCAUGGCUGUCGUCAGCUCGUGUCGUGAGAUGUCGGGUUAAGUCCCUUAACGAGCGAAACCCUUGUCCUUAGUUGCCAGCGAGUAAUGUCGGGGACUCUAAGGAGACUGCCGGUGUUAAACCGGAGGAAGGUGGGGAUGACGUCAAGUCCUCAUGGCCCUUACGGCUUGGGCUACACACGUGCUACAAUGGCAAGUACAGACGGCUGCUAACCCGCGAGGGGGAGCUAAUCCGACAAAACUUGUCGUAGUCCGGAUCGAAGUCUGCAACUCGACUUCGUGAAGUCGGAAUCGCUAGUAA